UACAGAGGGGCAAGCGUUAUUCGGAAUUAUUGGGCGUAAAGGGCGCGUAGGCGGCUUGGCAAGUGGAUGGUGAAAUCCCUCGGCUUAACCGAGGAACUGCCGUCCAAACUGCUUCGCUUGAGACCGGGAGAGGUGAGUGGAAUUCCCAGUGUAGCGGUGAAAUGCGUAGAUAUUGGGAGGAACACCAGUGGCGAAGGCGGCUCACUGGACCGGUACUGACGCUGAUGCGCGAAAGCGUGGGAGCAAACGGG
rnacentral:rRNA from 1 species